AGGCCCGUAGCUCAAUUGGCAGAGCGCCGGUCUCCAAAACCGGAGGCUGUCGGUUCGAUUCCGGCCGGGCCUGCCA
rnacentral:tRNA from 1 species